AUUCUGUGAUGAGGGAACUUCCGUAACAAUUUUUUGUACCUUUCCCAUGCCUCAUACAAGGAAUCGUCAUCCAUUUCUUGGAAAGAGGUGAUCUCAUUCCUCAACUU
rnacentral:snoRNA from 1 species